UCAAAGAUUAAGCCAUGCUGUCUAAGUAUAAGCAAUUUAUACAGUGAAACUGCGAAUGGCUCAUUAAAUCAGUUAUCGUUUAUUUGAUAGUACCUUUACUACUUGGAUAACCGUGGUAAUUCUAGAGCUAAUACAUGCUAAAAAUCCCGACUGUUUGGAAGGGAUGUAUUUAUUAGAUAAAAAAUCAAUGCUCUUUGAGCUCUUUGAUGAUUCAUAAUAACUUUUCGAAUCGCAUGGCCUUGUGCUGGCGAUGGUUCAUUCAAAUUUCUGCCCUAUCAACUUUCGAUGGUAGGAUAGUGGCCUACCAUGGUUUCAACGGGUAACGGGGAAUAAGGGUUCGAUUCCGGAGAGGGAGCCUGAGAAACGGCUACCACAUCCAAGGAAGGCAGCAGGCGCGCAAAUUACCCAAUCCCGACACGGGGAGGUAGUGACAAUACAUAACGAUACAGGGCCCUUUCGGGUCUUGUAAUUGGAAUGAGUACAAUGUAAAUACCUUAACGAGGAACAAUUGGAGGGCAAGUCUGGUGCCAGCAGCCGCGGUAAUUCCAGCUCCAAUAGCGUAUAUUAAAGUUGUUGCAGUUAAAAAGCUCGUAGUUGAACUUUGGGCUUGGUUGGCCGGUCCGCCUUUUUGGCGAGUACUGGACCCAACCGAGCCUUUCCUUCUGGCUAACCAUUCGCCCUUGUGGUGUUUGGCGAACCAGGACUUUUACUUUGAAAAAAUUAGAGUGUUCAAAGCAGGCCUUUGCUCGAAUAUAUUAGCAUGGAAUAAUAGAAUAGGACGUUAUGGUUUUAUUUUGUUGGUUUCUAGGACCAUCGUAAUGAUUAAUAGGGACGGUCGGGGGCAUCAGUAUUCAGUUGUCAGAGGUGAAAUUUUUAGAUUUACUGAAGACUAACUACUGCGAAAGCAUUUGCCAAGGACGUUUUCAUUAAUCAAGAACGAAAGUUAGGGGAUCGAAGAUGAUCAGAUACCGUCGUAGUUUUAACCAUAAACUAUGCCGACUAGGGAUCGGGUGUUGUUCUUUUUUUGACGCACUCGGCACCUUACGAGAAAUCAAAGUCUUUGGGUUCUGGGGGAG
rnacentral:rRNA from 1 species